GUUGUAUAGUUAAGUGAGAAAGCGUACAGGGCGGAUGCCUUGGCAAUCAGAGGCGAAGAAGGACGUGCUAAUCUGCGAAAAGCGUGGGUGAGUUGAUAAGAAGCGUUUAACCCACGAUGUCCGAAUGGGGAAACCCGAUAGGCGAAGAGCCUAUCAUUGCGAGGUGAAUAAAAUAGCCUCGUAAGGCGAACCGGGAGAACUGAAACAUCUAAGUACCCCGAGGAAAAGAAAUCAACCGAGAUUCUGUGAGUAGCGGCGAGCGAAAGCGGAGGAGCCAGUAAGUAAUAGCAGCAGAGAUAGAGGAAUUGUCUGGGAAGGCAAGCGACACAGGGUGAUAGCCCCGUACUUAAAAUCUAGGCUGUGGUACUAAGCUUACGAGAAGUAGGGCGGGACACGAGGAAUCCUGUCUGAAGAUGGGGGGACCAUCCUCCAAGGCUAAAUACUCCUGAUUGACCGAUAGUGAACCAGUACUGUGAAGGAAAGGCGAAAAGAACCCCGGUGAGGGGAGUGAAAUAGAACCUGAAACCCUGUACGUACAAGCAGUGGGAGCCCGCAAGGGUGACUGCGUACCUUUUGUAUAAUGGGUCAGCGACUUAUAUUUUGUAGCGAGGUUAACUGAAUAAGGGAGCCGAAGGGAAACCGAGUCUUAACUGGGCGUUGAGUUGCAAGGUAUAGACCCGAAACCCGGUGAUCUAGCCAUGGGCAGGUUGAAGGUUGGGUAACACUAACUGGAGGACCGAACCGACUAAUGUUGAAAAAUUAGCGGAUGACUUGUGGCUGGGGGUGAAAGGCCAAUCAAACCGGGAGAUAGCUGGUUCUCCCCGAAAUCUAUUUAGGUAGAGCCUUGUGUGAAUACCUUUGGGGGUAGAGCACUGUUUCGGCUAGGGGCCCAUCCUGGGUUACCAAACCGAUGCAAACUCCGAAUACCAAAGAGUAAUGCACAGGAGACACACGGCGGGUGCUAACGUCCGUCGUGGAGAGGGAAACAACCCAGACCGCCAGCUAAGGUCCCAAAAUCUAUAUUAAGUGGGAAACGAAGUGGGAAGGCUUAGACAGCUAGGAUGUUGGCUUAGAAGCAGCCACCAUUUAAAGAAAGCGUAAUAGCUCACUAGUCGAGUCGGCCUGCACGGAAGAUGUAACGGGGCUAAAAUAUAGUACCGAAGCUGCGGCAUCAGGCGUAUCACUAAUACGCCUUAACGAUUAACCACUUGCGAAGCAAGUGGGUAAAGCGAAAAACACGUUGAGUGUAAUGGCAAAGAAUCGAAGAGGGAUAUUAGUGAUACGUCUGUUGGGUAGGGGAGCGUUGUGUAAGCGGAAGAAGGUGGUUCGAGAGGAUUGCUGGACGUAUCACAAGUGCGAAUGCUGACAUAAGUAACGAUAAAACGGGUGAAAAACCCGUUCGCCGGAAGACCAAGGGUUCCUGUCCAACGUUAAUCGGGGCAGGGUGAGUCGGCCCCUAAGGCGAGGCUGAAAAGCGUAGUCGAUGGGAAACGGGUUAAUAUUCCCGUACUUGGUAAAGUUGCGAUGUGGGGACGGAGAAGGUUAGGUUAUCGACCUGUUGGAAAUGGUCGUUUAAGUUGGUAGGUGGGUGAGUUAGGCAAAUCCGGCUCACCGUUAACACUGAGAGAUGAUGACGAGGCACUAAGGUGCUGAAGUAACUGAUACCACACUUCCAGGAAAAGCCACUAAGCUUCAGGCUUUACUAAACCGUACUGAAAACCGACACAGGUGGUCAGGUAGAGAAUACUCAGGUGCUUGAGAGAACUCGGGUGAAGGAACUAGGCAAAAUAGCACCGUAACUUCGGGAGAAGGUGCGCCGGCGUAGAUUGUAGUGACUUGCUCACGAAGGUUGAACCGGUCGAAGAUACCAGCUGGCUGCAACUGUUUAUUAAAAACACAGCACUCUGCAAACACGAAAGUGGACGUAUAGGGUGUGAUGCCUGCCCGGUGCUGGAAGGUUAAUUGAUGGUGUAAUCGAAAGAGAAGCUCCAGAUCGAAGCCCCAGUAAACGGCGGCCGUAACUAUAACGGUCCUAAGGUAGCGAAAUUCCUUGUCGGGUAAGUUCCGACCUGCACGAAUGGCAUAAUGAUGGCCAGGCUGUCUCCACCCGAGACUCAGUGAAAUUGAAAUCGCCGUGAAGAUGCGGUGUACCCGCGGCUAGACGGAAAGACCCCGUGAACCUUUACUAUAGCUUGACACUGAACCUUGAAUUUUGAUGUGUAGGAUAGGUGGGAGACUGUGAAGCGGUAACGCCAGUUAUCGUGGAGUCGUUGUUGAAAUACCACCCUUUAACGUUUGAUGUUCUAACGAAGUGCCUGAAACGGGUACUCGGACAGUGUCUGGUGGGUAGUUUGACUGGGGCGGUCUCCUCCCAAAGAGUAACGGAGGAGCACGAAGGUUUGCUAAUGACGGUCGGACAUCGUCAGGUUAGUGCAAUGGUAUAAGCAAGCUUAACUGCGAGACAGACAAGUCGAGCAGGUGCGAAAGCAGGUCAUAGUGAUCCGGUGGUUCUGAAUGGAAGGGCCAUCGCUCAACGGAUAAAAGGUACUCCGGGGAUAACAGGCUGAUACCGCCCAAGAGUUCAUAUCGACGGCGGUGUUUGGCACCUCGAUGUCGGCUCAUCACAUCCUGGGGCUGAAGUAGGUCCCAAGGGUAUGGCUGUUCGCCAUUUAAAGUGGUACGCGAGCUGGGUUUAGAACGUCGUGAGACAGUUCGGUCCCUAUCUGCCGUGGGCGUUGGAGAAUUGAGAGGGGCUGCUCCUAGUACGAGAGGACCGGAGUGGACGCAUCACUGGUGUACCAGUUGUCUCGCCAGAGGCACUGCUGGGUAGCUAAAUGCGGAAGAGAUAAGUGCUGAAAGCAUCUAAGCACGAAACUUGCCUCAAGAUGAGUUCUCCCUGACUUAAAGUCAGUAAGGGUUGUUGGAGACGACGACGUAGAUAGGCUGGGUGUGUAAGCGGUGUGAGCCGUUGAGCUAACCAGUACUAAUUGCCCGAGAGGCUUAACUAUACAACGCUCAAGGGUUUUG
rnacentral:rRNA from 1 species